CUCCGUUAGGGAUAGUAAUGGAAAUCCUUUGAAAAGAUUGGAGUAAAUGACCCGGGCCGAA
rnacentral:misc_RNA from 1 species